CAACAUCGUCAGACCCAUGAGCCCUUUGACUUGAAUCAGAUCCCGGUAAUCUUUUACUAGAGUUUGCGAAAAUAAAGAUGCAAUUUACAGAGAUUCACUAACCGGAACCCGAACCGAACCCGAAGAAACCCGAUGGAUUCGGGUUUGGGUUUAGUGAUUUGGAUUUUUCCGGGUUUGGGUUCGGGUUCGGGUUUGACAAAGAAAAUCGGGUUCGGGUUUUUGCUAAACCUGUUUCAACCGACCCGAUUGCCAUCCCUACACACGAAUCUCCUGCCAAAUCUUUCCCGCCAUAAAUAACAGUGUAGUAGUAUCUUUUUCUCUCCCACAGAGUUUCAGAGAGAGAGAGAGAGAGAUUGAAGAUGUCAGGUUGGGAUGAAGGAGCCGUGUACUACAGCGAACAAGCUCAGUUCCCCCGUGGCGCCGGAGACCCCGAACAGGCUGCCAGUCGCCACACGGUGCUCCGAAAGUCGAAGGAGUUUAUUCGAAACCUCGCGCUCAAAAUCAACCAAAUGUGUUCCCCUACAGAGAAAGCUUGGUCCAAAACCCUAAAUAUCUUCUCGUCAAUCUCUCCGAUCUCCUCAAUUAGGACAAAGACCAGGAUUUUCGCGAUUUGCUUCGAAAAAACCCUGCCAUUUUUAAAUGAUUUGAGUCGAUGAUUUAGUUAUGAUAUGAGUUGGGGGAUUUUGUGAAAUAUGUUUAGUUUGAAACCGCUGCUGCGGAAGCUCUGCCAAGUUUGAGGUCUAGAGUAUCAGGGGAGAGUGGUGAAAUGGAGGAACCUGAGACUGAGGAGGUGCAGAUUUUUUUGACAUCGAAGCAGGAUCCAGUUUCAAUGCGUUUACUAGGGAUUCGUUUUAUGCCCGUACUGUUUCAUUAGUAAUUGAUUUUUAUUGUUUAUAGAUGUUGUGUUCUGUUUCUUAUGGUUGUACUUUAUGUCUAAUGAUAGGUACAAUAUAUAUCCAAAUUAGUAAAGAUAUCGGGGAUCACUAUUGCUGCAUCAAGGACCAAGGCAGGGGCAACUUAUGUUACAUUUUUGUGUAAGAACUGUAAAUGUAAAAGUUAUUCCAUGUCGUCCAGGGCUAGGAGGGGCGAUUGUGCUACAUUCAUGCGACCAUGUGCCACAGGCUGGAGAAGAACCUUGCCCCAUUGAUCCCUGGAUUGUGGUUCCAGAUAAAAGCAAGUAUGUUGAUUAGCAGACCUUAAAGUUACAAGAAAAUCCUGAGGAUACGAGGCGACAAGCAAAUGAAAAUGGAGAAACUGCAGCGGUUCCAAUAACUGUGAGACAGUUGAAAGCUAUAGUGAGGUUGAGCGAGGCACUUGCGAAGAUGCAACUGUCCUAUGUUGCAAGCGAUAACUAUGUCAUGGAAGCUAUCAGAUUAUUCAACAAUGCUACAAUGGAUAUAGCAAAAUCAGGAAUCAAUCAGCAGAUAAAUCUUACUCCUGAGAUGGCAAAUGACAUAAGAUAGCAAAAACUCAGAUAAACAGAAGAAUGGGAAUUGCAAGCCAUAUAUCAGAAAGAAGACUAAUCGAUGAGCUUUCCAGAAUGGGCUUGGAUGAAUCUAUUGUAAGAAGAGCUCUGUUAAUCAUGCAUCAAAGAGAUGAAGUUGAGUACGAGAGAGAAAGAAGAGUUAUUCUCCGAAAAGCUUAAUGUACGACCCUAAGAUCAAGCUUCAACGCAACAUUUUGCUUUCACAUUGUAUAGUGUCUACUAUUGUAUCAUACUUUCAGCGCAACAUUUUGCUUUCACAUUGUAUAGUGUCUACUAUUGUAUCAUACUUUCAGCGCAACAUUUUGCUUUCACAUUGUAUAGUGUCUACCAUUCUAUCAUACUCAGUAAAUAAUGAUGCAGUUUGACGGUAUAGUGUUCAAUUUAUG